rnacentral:rRNA from 1 species
CCUACGGGUGGCAGCAGUGGGGAAUAUUGCACAAUGGGCGAAAGCCUGAUGCAGCAACGCCGCGUGAAGGAAGACGGUUUUCGGAUUGUAAACUUCUAUCAAUAGGGAAGAAAGAAAAGACGGUACCUGACUAAGAAGCCCCGGCUAACUACGUGCCAGCAGCCGCGGUAAUACGUAGGGGGCAAGCGUUAUCCGGAUUUACUGGGUGUAAAGGGAGCGUAGACGGCAAGGCAAGCCAGAAGUGAAAGGGCAGGGCUCAACCCUGUACAUGCUUUUGGAACUGUGGUGCUAGAGUGCAGGAGAGGUAAGUGGAAUUCCUAGUGUAGCGGUGAAAUGCGUAGAUAUUAGGAGGAACACCAGUGGCGAAGGCGGCUUACUGGACUGUAACUGACGUUGAGGCUCGAAAGCGUGGGGAGCAAACAGGAUUAGAUACCCCUGUAGUC